rnacentral:rRNA from 1 species
UAAGACGUAGGAUGCAAGCGUUGUCCGGAAUUAUUGGGCGUAAAGAGUUCGUAGGCGGUUGCCUAAGUCUGGUGUUAAAGCCCGGAGCUCAACUCCGGCAUGGCAUUGGAAACUGGGCAGCUAGAGUGUGGUAGAGGUAUCGGGAAUUCCUGGUGUAGCGGUGAAAUGCGUAGAUAUCAGGAGGAACACCGGUGGCGAAAGCGCGAUACUGGGCCAUAACUGACGCUGAGGAACGAAAGCUAGGGGAGCGAAAGGGAUUAGAUACCCCUGUAGUCCUAGCCGUAAACGAUGGAUACUAGGUGUUGGAGGAUUCGACCCCUUCAGUGCCGUAGCUAACGCGAUAAGUAUCCCGCCUGGGGAGUACGACCGCAAGGUUG